GCACACAGUAGGCGUUUUGCAACAUGCUGAGCUCUUAGCUAAGGGUUGCUCUAGCUCUGGGACUGGAGAGGACAGGGACAAAAGAGUCCAUCCCAGCAGAUUAAAUACAGCAAAGGAAAGCAAAUUUUAUGGUGGCUGAGAUCUCAGGAGGAGGAGGAGAAAGAAGAAGAGGGACUGGCUGCUUUGAAACAAGGGCAACUAAAGACCAACUAUGGAAGACUUAUACAAUAGAAAACCUGGUGUGGGUAGGUGAGAAGGUAAGUUGGUGAGAGACCUCGAGAUCACAUGGUAAGUUUCCUGAGAUACUCAAUGGACACAUCCUAAAGCCAUCUUCCCAGUUCUUCAAAGACUUGACCCAUUCAUGCCCGUUCAUGGAGGUAGAAAUGGAGACACAGAGACGUCAAAUAACCUUACCAUUUGAGGGCUGGAACCAGGAGCCAGAGGAAAAGAACUCCUGCGGAGCUGCUAAUCCGAGAGUCAACAGUCGACCGAGCUGAGCGGCUUCCCCGGAGGUGGGUGUCUAGCUCAGCCCCAACUGUGCAAACAGACCCUGCAGUCUGGGCUGCCCCAGGGGCGUGGUCUGAAGCAGCCGGUCCUGCCUGCCAGCUCGCCAGGCCCCUGGCUCCCUUUGUGCAUUUCUCAUUGAAUUGGGAGUUAGCUCAAAGGCAGGCUAGGGAAGGUCAAAGCCAAUUUGCAGGGUCAGAGGUCAAGGAGAAGAGAGGCACCCGACCGGUCGCCCGGAAGCUGGCUAACAGUUUGUCCUGACUGCUG
rnacentral:lncRNA from 1 species